rnacentral:rRNA from 1 species
UACGUAGGGUGCAAGCGUUAAUCGGAAUUACUGGGCGUAAAGCGUGCGUAGGUGGUUUGUUAAGUCUGCUGUGAAAGCCCCGGGCUCAACCUGGGAAUGGCAGUGGAUACUGGCAAGCUAGAGUGCGGUAGAGGGGUGUGGAAUUCCCGGUGUAGCGGUGAAAUGCGUAGAGAUCGGGAGGAACACCAGUGGCGAAGGCGGCACCCUGGACCAGCACUGACACUGAGGCACGAAAGCGUGGGGAGCAAACAGG